GUGGCUACACAUAUAUCCAAUUUUAACUACAGUGGUCACUGGACUGGCUUGUACAUUCCUCAGACAGUAGAAGCUUCAAACUGGGAAAAAUAAAUAAAAAGACUUAUCAUUUAUUGUAGCUGAACAGAGUACGCCAUAGUUAGAAACCACAGUCUAAUAAAUGUGUCUGUUUAAAUGUAGUGACUUAACUACACUUUGGUAAUAAGGUAAAG